rnacentral:lncRNA from 1 species
CCUUGUCCUUCAGAUCUCUGCUGCGUCUGUUCUGGCUUCAUCAGAAACAUUCGCUGGCCUCUCUGACGAGGUCGAAUCGCACCGUUAGACGCAUGCGCACCAGAACCUCUCCAUGGAGACCCCUCACCAGCGGAAUUCUGCGCUUGUCUAUUGAACAGAUCUGUGCCUCACCAGAGAUGAGUUCAAUGACGCCAUCAUGGAGGGGUUUUAUCUGUUUCUAUUAGGCCUAGAUGCCUAAUUCAUAUUUGUUAAAGGAAAGUGGUGGCCAGGGAAGUAGGGAAGGGAAGAAUUUCUAAUACUUUUCUACAGUUGAAAUAGCAAGAACCUAAAUGGCUUGCCCAAGGACAUAGAGUUAGUGACACAGCAGAAAGUUGGACUCAAGUUUCCAAGGGACUGAGCUCGUCACGGUGCACUUCCUUCAACUUGCUGUGACACUUAUUUCACCGUGAUUCCCCGCCGAGGGUGCGGUGUGACAUCAGAUACUACCGACCUCCCAGAGAAGAGAGCAGGCAACGCACUCAGCACCGUGACUGGCACACAGUAAAUGGUCAGUGGACAGCAGUGUGUGCGUGCGUGCACGUGUGAAUGUGUGGCCCUCCUGAGACUUGACUUUUCUGUACUGUGUUUUCUCUCCACAAAUCAACUUGAGAACCACAAGAUAUAUCAUUUCUAUCUUCUCAAGCAUCCUGGUUUCUUAUUCCCCCCUUCCUUUUGAUUUUGGUUCUAAUCUCUUCUUUUAGGUUAGAAUGUUAGAAUGGUUAAAAAUGAAUCAUUUUUUUCAAAGCCUUGGCAGCUUUCAUUUCCUCAGUUCAUUUCAAAUGAUUUAUGAUACAA